rnacentral:rRNA from 1 species
UACGUAGGGGGCAAGCGUUGUCCGGAAUCAUUGGGCGUAAAGCGCGUGUAGGCGGCUUGGUAAGUCCGCUCUGAAAGCCCGGGGCUCAACCCCGGGAGGCGGGUGGAUACUGCUGGGCUCGAGUCCGGAAGAGGAGUGUGGAAUUCCUGGUGUAGCGGUGAAAUGCGCAGAUAUCGGGAGGAACACCUAUUGCGAAGGCAGCUCGCUGGGACGUUACUGACGCUGAGACGCGAAAGCGUGGGGAGCAAACAGG